rnacentral:rRNA from 1 species
UACGGGGGGAGCAAGCGUUGUUCGGAUUUACUGGGCGUAAAGGGCGCGUAGGCGGCGCAACAAGUCAGUUGUGAAAUCUCUGGGCUUAACCCAGAGCGGUCAACUGAUACUGUCGUGCUAGAGUGCGGAAGGGGCAACUGGAAUUCUCGGUGUAGCGGUGAAAUGCGUAGAUAUCGAGAGGAACACCGGUGGCGAAGGCGGCUUCCUGGACAGUGACUGACGCUGAGACGCGAAAGCGUGGGGAGCAAACAGG